rnacentral:tRNA from 1 species
AAGCCCAGACGCCAUUCAAGACGUUUUCUCCAGAUUUGCAAUCUGGCGCAUUUUGCUUCAUAGGCC